GUGAGGAAUAUUGGUCAAUGGGCGAGAGCCUGAACCAGCCAAGUCGCGUGAAGGAAGAAGGAUCUAUGGUUCGUAAACUUCUUUUGCAGGGGAAUAAAGUGCGGGACGUGUCCUGUUUUGUAUGUACCCUGAGAAUAAGGAUCGGCUAACUCCGUGCCAGCAGCCGCGGUAAUACGGAGGAUCCGGGCGUUAUCCGGAUUUAUUGGGUUUAAAGGGUGCGUAGGUGGUUUGAUAAGUCAGCGGUGAAAGUUUGCAGCUUAACUGUAAAAAUGCCGUUGAAACUGUCGGACUUGAGUGUAAAUGAGGUAGGCGGAAUGCGUGGUGUAGCGGUGAAAUGCAUAGAUAUCACGCAGAACUCCGAUUGCGAAGGCAGCUUACUAAGCUACAACUGACACUGAAGCACGAAAGCGUGGGGAUCAAACAGGAUUAGAUACCCGAGUAGUCC
rnacentral:rRNA from 1 species